GCUCGUAUUCCACCUCCUCCUGGAAGCACUUUGUGUUCACAUGCCAAGCUCACCCGUAGGACACCUUCUGGACUCAGGCCCCGCUGGACCUGACUGCACAGUUUCAGUUGUGGUUUUUAACAUGAUGUGCUUAACACAGUACUGGAACAUGGUUAAUGCCUCAUAAAUGGUGGUUAUAAUAAUUAAAAAUCCAAGUCUGCCCAAGCACCUGCUGAGCAGGUAAUUUUUGAAGCAUCGGAGUUACAUCAUAACUUGGGAAAUCUGUGAAGGAUUUGCAAAAGUGGCCACAUCCGGAACUCAGAGAGAGAUCAAAGAGCUGUCAUAGGAGACCUGGCCAACCUCAGAUCCUGGGCUGUCAGGACCAAAGGGCUGAAAAUGAAAUACUGAAUUCUUAUGAGCAGAUGGGGCAUUCUCUUUUCUCACCCAUGGGACUUUACCCUAGUGUGCACCACAGAGCUUGGCGGAGU